UUGUUUAUUUGUUUGUUUGUUUUGAGGGGUUUCUGGAGCAAUCCUGAUGGUCAUUAUGAGAGAGAGUAGGAACCCAAAGUUAGAACCAGUCAAGAACCAGACAAAGCUCCUCUCCCUAGUCCUGAAGGAAGUUUACUGUUUUGUUUCUGCGGACCGCUAAGUGCUCC